UACAGAGGUCUCAAGCGUUGUUCGGAUUCAUUGGGCGUAAAGGGUGUGUAGGUGGCGCCGUAAGUCGGGUGUGAAAUUUCGGAGCUUAACUCCGAAACUGCAUUCGAUACUGCGGUGCUUGAGGACUGGAGAGGAGACUGGAAUUCAUGGUGUAGCAGUGAAAUGCGUAGAGAUCAUGAGGAAGACCAGUGGCGAAGGCGGGUCUCUGGACAGUUCCUGACACUGAGACACGAAGGCCAGAGGAGCAAACGGG
rnacentral:rRNA from 1 species